rnacentral:rRNA from 1 species
AUUGAACGCUGGCGGCAUGCUUUACACAUGCAAGUCGAACGGUAACAGGCCUUCGGGUGCUGACGAGUGGCGAACGGGUGAGUAAUGCAUCGGAACGUACCCAGAGGUGGGGGAUAACGCAGCGAAAGCUGUGCUAAUACCGCAUGUGAUCUGAGGAUGAAAGCGGGGGACCGAGCAGCAAUGUUUGGCCUCGCGCCUUUGGAGCGGCCGAUGUCGGAUUAGCUAGUUGGUGGGGUAAAGGCCUACCAAGGCGACGAUCCGUAGCUGGUCUGAGAGGACGAACAGCCACACUGGGACUGAGACACGGCCCAGACUCCUACGGGAGGCAGCAGUGGGGAAUUUUGGACAAUGGGCGCAAGCCUGAUCCAGCAAUGCCGCGUGCGGGAAGAAGGCCUUCGGGUUGUAAACCGCUUUUGGCAGGAACGAAACGGUGUCCGCUAAUACCGGGCGCUAAUGACGGUACCUGCAGAAUAAGCACCGGCUAACUACGUG